AUGAAAUAACAAAGGGAAAGCACGGGCACAGGAGGGGAGUGAGAGGGAGAGGGGGAUAUUCCACACAAUAUGAUUGCUUUAUGAAGGAGCUGAGGCCAGUCGAGAAGCAGUUGUCAAAAGGUUCAGGUCAUCUUGAUAUGCCAGCUAUAAUUGUACUGUUUUUGAACGUGAUGCGCUAUUUCACUGAUGUGUACUUUUAGCAGUGUUGAUUCUACUUCUCUGUGUGUGUCAGAUUCUGCUGCAUUUUUUGUUUUAUUUUUUGCUGAUUUAUGUGCUUAGCUUAAUUUUUGUUCUUAAUUUGAUCUGCUGAAUUUAUUGCACUUGGAUUGCAUUUCUGCACUACCCUUGAGCUUUGUAGUGUAUUUAACAAUCAUGUAUUUGUUUAGUGUAUAUUUAUUACAAGAAUAUUAUUGUUCUCACACAUUUGAAGCUUUUUUAAUUAUUGCUAGAAAAAAAUGCCCUCCUAACCGGCUGCAGUCGCACAUACCAGCCAAAAGAGGGCAACAUGAUUGCAGAAUUCCUCCACUUGCCCGAGCGCUCUUCUGGAUGGCAGGUUAAACGUGUAAGGUCCGCAUGCUUGGCAACAAAGGAGGCGAUUGUCACAUGUGUGAGAUCUCUUGUGCUGGAAUAAAGUUCUCCACAGUCAAGGUGUCCAUGAAAGGACCUUGCCCUUGUGGAAGCCAAAUAAAAACAAAGGAGACAUUAAAUGCACCUGUCUCCUGGAAAACAGACAUCUUCACUCAUCAUGCCCGCUGCCGAGAUCCUGAUGAUAAGAUUAUAAAAUGUCAUUCUAAAAAAAAAAGGGCAGUUUCUUUUUUUUUUUUUUGAGGAGUUAAUUGAAUUUAAAUCGCUUUGGUGAGUGGAAAAAAUGGAGUGGCAGGGAAUAGUCUUAAUCAUUUGAAUUGUAAACCAUCUUUAUAAAUGAGAAAUCGUCUUCACAGCUGAGAAGUAUUAUCAGAAUGGCAUAAAAGUGUCGUGUUUCUGUAUUGCUCAUAUUACUGCGUGAAAAUUACCGUAUGGGUUGAUAGAUAUGAUCAUAAAGAUGUGCUGAAUAAAUACAGACAUUCUCAGGUUGAUUUUUCAGUGUGUGUACAUGUUUGUAUGUCUUGAUGAGGACCAAAUGCCUGCACAAGAAUAGGAAUAUCUUACAUCUUUGGGGACAUUUGGCUCGUCCCUAUGAGGAAAACUGCAUUUUCUUUUACCAAAACUCUCAAAAGGUUUCUUUUUGGUUACUGAGGUUAGGAUUUGAUUUAGGUGUAGGCACUGCAUUAAUAAGCUGCAUUAAUAAUUAUGUCACUGGAAGGUCCUCCAAAGGCUAGUAUGGUAAACGUGUGUGUGUGUGUGUGUGUGUGUGUGUGUGUGUGUGUGUUAAAUGUACCUGUUACCGAGAUGCUGGUCUGAUUUGGCAGAAGCUGCUGGAGGAUCAGUGAGUGUGAGAGGAUCUUGUGCACUCCAGCGAAUAGCCGACAGAGGGAGGCCUCCUCAGAUACAUAACCAUGAAGCCAAAACUGAACACCAGAGCUUUUUCUACUUCACAGAGCGACAGCUAAGGCCAGCCAGUCACUGGAACCACAGGCUGAUGGACGGUUAAGCAGUUGGAGGGGUGCCAGCAGGGCUCAGACAGGUAGGAGCUACGCCAAGGCUGUUCCUCGACCAUCCAUCCUCCAGGAUGACACACCAGCGCCUGCUAGCUUCUAUUAUGGCUCCUUCUCUUCCUCUCCUGAAUAGAGCAAAUUUGAUUUGGCCUCUGCAAAAGCACUUUUCACCAAAUAAAAGCUCAUUACUGUGAUGGAAAAGUGGCAUUCAAGGUAAAGCUGGUUGGGUGAAGCGAGGACAACGUGAACAUGGUGAAAACACAGGGCUCACACUUGUUCAGUUAGUAUGAGUGUAUUCUGUUUUUCUCUUCUUGUCCAUGAACUUGUGCCUAGCCAUUUACAGAUUUAUAGUGCAAUAACAGGUUCUUGUACUGCUCUUGUACACUAUUAAGGACUUAAAGGAACACUUCAGUAUUUUCAACUUAAAUAGCUGGUGUGUGGCUGCCGUCACACCAUCCAGGUUGAUGCUACACGCUAGUGGUGGUUGAGGAGACACCCCCCAGCCCCCCUCCCCCCCCCAUCCUGUGUAAAGCACUUUGAGAGUCUAGAAGAGCACUAUAUAAAUGUAACAAAAAAAAAAUGUCUCUAUUCACUGCAUGUGUAUUCAACUCAAAUUAUAUGGAUUAAUACAAAUUUCAACAUAUUUCUCUGUACUGACGAAGAAAAGAAAACCUGUUUACCUGAAACUCACUUAUAAUGGAAGUCUAAGGGCAGUUGUUCUGGUAGUGAAUAACCCUUUAUGUGAAGCACUUUCAUGAAUUCAUCGGUCAAAGCUAUUCAUAAAUUCAGCUCCAUAUGUGUAUAAUUAAGCAUUUCAGAGAUUUUAUUUUUCGGUGAGAAGUACGUCAGAUGCCUCUUAGUUCUGUUCUCAGUACAGGGAGCUGGCUUGAAAUUAUUUUUGCAUAGUUAUCACAUCUACUAUGCAGAGAUUAUCAUUAAAA